rnacentral:rRNA from 1 species
AGUGAACGCUGGCGGUAGGCCUAACACAUGCAAGUCGAACGGCAGCACAGUAAGAGCUUGCUCUUACGGGUGGCGAGUGGCGGACGGGUGAGGAAUACAUCGGAAUCUACUUUUUCGUGGGGGAUAACGUAGGGAAACUUACGCUAAUACCGCAUACGACCUACGGGUGAAAGCAGGGGAUCUUCGGACCUUGCGCGAUUGAAUGAGCCGAUGUCGGAUUAGCUAGUUGCGGGGUAAAGGCCCACCAAGGCGACGAUCCGUAGCUGGUCUGAGAGGAUGAUCAGCCAGACUGGAACUGAGACACGGUCCAGACUCCUACGGGAGGCAGCAGUGGGGAAUAUUGGACAAUGGGCGCAAGCCUGCUCCAGCCAUACCGCGUGGGUGAAGAAGGCCUUCGGGUUGUAAAGCCCUUUUGUCGGGAAAGAAAAGCAGCAGGUUAAUACCCCGCUGUUCUGACGGUACCCAAAUAAUAAGCACCGGCUAACUUCGUG